UCCUGCUUGACGCAGGCAGUCCCCCCAGAGUCCCCGGCAUGACCCGCUGGCAACUGAGGGUAAGGGUUUCGCUCGUUAUAGGACUUAACCCGACAUCUCACGACACGAGCUGACGACAGCCAUGCAGCACCUGUAGUUGCUUCCGGAUUGGAUACCGUUCGUUCCCGUUUCCGGGUCCUACCUGCAACCUCUUUCGAACAUGUCAAGUCCAGGAUAAGGUUCUUCGCGUAGCCUCGAAUUAAGCCACAUGCUCCACUGCUUGUGUGAGCCCCCGUCAAUUUCUUUGAGUUUCAGCCUUGCGGCCAUACUCCCCAGGCGGAGAACUUAGCACUUUUGCUUCGGCAGUGAAUCUUAUGUCGAAUCCACUACCUAGUUCUCAUCGUUUAGGGCCAGGACUAC
rnacentral:misc_RNA from 1 species